AGGGUUUGAUCAUGGCUCAGAACGUACGCUGGCGGCACGCCUAACACAUGCAAGUCGAACGAAGUAGCAAUACUUAGUGGCAGACGGGUGAGUAACAUGUGGGUAUCUGCCCUUUGGCCUGGAAUAACACGAGGAAACUUGUGCUAAUACCGGAUAAGUCUUUACGGAGAAAGCUUUAUGCACCAUUGGAUGAGCCCGCACUUGAUUAGUUUGUUGGUGGGGUAAUGGCCUACCAAGACUGUGAUCAAUAGCUGAUUUGAGAGGAUGAUCAGCCACAUUGGGACUGAGACACGGCCCAAACUCCUACGGGAGGCAGCAGUGGGGAAUCUUGCACAAUGGAGGAAACUCUGAUGCAGCGAUGCCGCGUGAGUGAAGAAGGCCCUUGGGUUGUAAAGCUCUUUCGUCGGGGAAGAAAAUGACUGUACCCGAAUAAGAAGGUCCGGCUAACUUCGUGCCAGCAGCCGCGGUAAUACGAAGGGACCUAGCGUAGUUCGGAAUUACUGGGCUUAAAGAGUUCGUAGGUGGUUGAAAAAGUUAGUGGUGAAAUCCCAGAGCUUAACUCUGGAACUGCCAUUAAAACUUUUCAGCUAGAGUAUGAUAGAGGAAAGCAGAAUUUCUAGUGUAGAGGUGAAAUUCGUAGAUAUUAGAAAGAAUACCAAUUGCGAAGGCAGCUUUCUGGAUCAUUACUGACACUGAGGAACGAAAGCAUGGGUAGCGAAGAGGAUUAGAUACCCUCGUAGUCCAUACCAUAAACGAUGAUUAUUAGAUGUGGGGAAUUAUUUCUCUGUAUCAUAGCUAACGCGUUAAAUAAUCCGCCUGGGGAGUACGACCGCAAGGUUAAAACUCAAAUGAAUUGACGGGGACCCGCACAAGCGGUGGAGCAUGUGGUUUAAUUCGAAGCAACGCGCAGAACCUUACCAACCCUUGACAUGUUCGUCGCGAGACUAAGAAAUUAGUCUCUUCGGUUCGGCCGGACGAAACACAGGUGCUGCAUGGCUGUCGUCAGCUCGUGUCGUGAGAUGUUGGGUUAAGUCCCGCAACGAGCGCAACCCCUACUUUUAGUUGCCAUCAGGUUAAGCUGGGCACUCUAAUAGAACUGCCUGUGAUAAACAGGAGGAAGGUGGGGAUGACGUCAAGUCCUCAUGGCCCUUACGGGUUGGGCUACACACGUGCUACAAUGGUAAGUACAAUGAGAUGCCGAACAGCGAUGUUUAGCCAAACUCAAAAACUUACCUCAGUUCGGAUUGCACUCUGCAACUCGAGUGCAUGAAGCUGGAAUCGCUAGUAAUCGUGGAUCAGCGUGCCACGGUGAAUACGUUCCCGGGUCUUGUACACACCGCCCGUCACACCAUGGAAGUUAGAUUUACCUUAAGGCAAGUUAUGAACCCUCGGGACAUGCUUGACCACGGUAAGUUUAGCAACUGGGGUGAAGUCGUAACAAGGUAACCGUA
rnacentral:rRNA from 1 species